rnacentral:rRNA from 1 species
UGGGGAAUCUUGCGCAAUGGGCGAAAGCCUGACGCAGCGACGCCGCGUGCGGGAAGAAGGCCUUCGGGUUGUAAACCGCUUUCAGGAGGGACGAAGCCACCGGGGUUAAUAGCCCACGGGGUGACGGUACCUCCAGAAGAAGCCCCGGCUAACUACGUGCCAGCAGCCGCGGUAAUACGUAGGGGGCAAGCGUUGUCCGGAUUUAUUGGGCGUAAAGAGCGUGUAGGCGGCCAGGCAGGUCUGGUGUGAAAUCUCGAGGCUCAACCUCGAGCGGUCACUGGAAACCGUCUGGCUAGAGUCCGGAAGAGGAGAGUGGAAUUCCUGGUGUAGCGGUGAAAUGCGCAGAUAUCAGGAAGAACACCUAUGGCGAAGGCAGCUCUCUGGGACGGUACUGACGCUGAGACGCGAAAGCGUGGGGAGCGAACAG